AACGAACAGAAAACAACCAUUUAUAUUCAUUGGACGGCUGGAAAAGGCUACGAACAGAAGGAAAAAAACACUAGGGAACAAGGUGGCGAAUUUUGGUGUUUGAAGUCAAAGAGAAAGAGGAAGAAAGAAGCGAUUAGCUUAAAGUUCAUAGCUUGUUCGGUUAGACUUUGUUUUUAUUGUUUUCAAGUUUAUUUAGACUCGAAUACUUGAACAAUGUUUUCUGAAUUUAAUUGCUUUGAAUAUAUUUGUGCUAUGGAUAAUUGUUAGUUUAUUUACGGUUUCUUGGUUGGUUAAUUUAUGUUUUGGCUUAGUGUUAUUGUAAAAGUGUUCUAAUCUAGGUUGUAAAUGUAUAUGCAUAUUUAAUAAUUAAUGGUUUAUUUUUGUUCCACCUUUUCUUGGUUAAAAAUUAACUGCGUAUUAAUUAAAGGUAGGGUUAGGUGAUUUCGUUAACUUUGUGUUUUCGACUAAAUCUCGUGGUUGCUAGAUGUAGUAAACCCUAGGAACAAAUUAAUAAACUAUUUUGUAAUUAAAUAUUCUACCAUCUUUGAGACCGAGAGGAGAUUAGAUGUCGGGUUGUCUUAAUCAUUAGACGGGUUAGGUGUUAAUUGCACGAGAGUGAAUUACCCUAGGUUUUCUUGUAAUUUUUAGCAAACCGUGUUGGAACCUAAUUAGAGUCACCACCCCGUACAUCCCUUACACUUCCCGGAUGUACCGUUUCUAUUGAGACCGAGAGGUAAUCUAGAUUUAGAGUACCAUAACCUAGUUAGAGAGACUGAGAGGUGAUCUAACAUUAACCGGUGAGUUUAUACAAUUUUCUUGACCCUAGAUUGCGACCUAUUUGGAGAAUGAUCUGCCAGCCAGUUUAGGUCUUGUUUAGUGAACUUUAAGAUCCCGGUAGCCAAAACUUAGUUAUUCCAUUCCAAGAACCGUGAGUGAAUUGACAUGCAUCUUGCCUAGGUAGCCACUUUUCCAUCAUCUGAAUUCACAUAAAUUUGUUAUCUGUUUGCUCUGCUUUCGUAUUUGCUUUCUCAUUUAAUUUUAGUAGUUAAUAUAAAUCAAAACACUCAUUAAAUAUUAUUAGACUAGGACUCGACAAAAGUUUAGUAUGGAGAGCCGCGCCAUUGUGUCCACGGAUUGAUAAUCGGACUUGACUACAUAACGACCGGUGCACUUGCCGAUUAUGUGUGAUUAAGCUAGUUUGACCAUUUAAUUUGGUGUUUUAAAAAUAUAUUAAACAUUUUACACAUCAAGUUUUUGGCGCCAUUGCCGGGGACACACAGCGCUUUCGAGGACGACCCGAGUCGGGGAUUUAAUCACUUUACUGCUUUCUUGUAUUAGUUUUUUUUAGUUAAAAA
rnacentral:lncRNA from 1 species